AGAUAGCCAAAACUGUCUUCCUUAUCAAAGGAUUGUAGGAUGAGGAUUGUACGUGAUUAUUGCAGCGCUCCAAAACAUGCCAAAUCCCAAGAUGUACACCCAAUACAGUAUCUCAACAUUGAGCUAACUAUGUAGGUAUGUAUGUAUACGCUAGUAUAUGGUAUAUGUACAUACUUACAUACCUGUAUUAUUUUAGUGAACAUAUUGUUCAUGACAACACGCAGAUGUCCCAGGGAGCCCGGUUCUGGAAUCUCACCCCAUCUCAUCUCAUCUAAACAUCUAAACACAUCCUUAAAAUGUCAUUAUCCUUAUUGUCCUUGAAUUCAAAGGAUUGCAUCCAAUCCGGGACAUUGUCCCGAUCACGAGAAGGCGUGGCAUGUCCUGAUCCGACAGGAUACGGCCGAAUUAUAGGGAUCUAACGACUACAUAUGAAAAAAUCCUUGAAAUGGCAUUAUCCUUAAUGUCCUUGCAUCCCAAAGGAUUGCAUCCAAUCCGGGACAUUGUCCCGAUCACGAGAAGGCGUGGCAUGUCCUAAUCCUACAGGAUACAGCCGAGUUAUAGGGUUUAAGCGACUACAUUUAAAAACAUCCUUAAAAUUUCAUUAUCCUAAAUGUCCUUGCAUCCAAAGGGAUUGAAAACGAUCCAGUACAGUCUCCCGAUCACGAGGAGGCUUGCCAUGUCCUGAUAGGCCUUCAAAUAAAGGACAAAACAACAAAACAA
rnacentral:lncRNA from 1 species